CAGUCGCCGCGGGAAUACGUAGGUGGCAAGCGUUGUCCGGAAUUAUUGGGCGUAAAGGGCUCGCAGGCGGUUUCUUAAGUCUGAUGUGAAAGCCCCCGGCUCAACCGGGGAGGGUCAUUGGAAACUGGGGAACUUGAGUGCAGAAGAGGAGAGUGGAAUUCCACGUGUAGCGGUGAAAUGCGUAGAGAUGUGGAGGAACACCAGUGGCGAAGGCGACUCUCUGGUCUGUAACUGACGCUGAGGAGCGAAAGCGUGGGGAGCGAACAGGAUUAGAUACCCGCGUAGUCCCUGUCUCUUAUAC
rnacentral:rRNA from 1 species